AAUAGAUACCCGGUAGUCCACCCGUAAACGUUGGAACUAGUUGUGGGGUCCAUUCCACGGAUUCCGUGACGCAGCUAACGCAUUAAGUUCCCCGCCUGGGGAGUACGGCCGCAAGGCUAAAACUCAAAGGAAUUGACGGGGACCCGCACAAGCGGCGGAGCAUGCGGAUUAAUUCGAUGCAACGCGAAGAACCUUACCAAGGCUUGACAUACACGAGAACGGGCCAGAAAUGGUCAACUCUUUGGACACUCGUGAACAGGUGGUGCAUGGUUGUCGUCAGCUCGUGUCGUGAGAUGUUGGGUUAAGUCCCGCAACGAGCGCAACCCUCGUUCUAUGUUGCCAGCACGUAAUGGUGGGAACUCAUGGGAUACUGCCGGGGUCAACUCGGAGGAAGGUGGGGAUGACGUCAAAUCAUCAUGCCCCUUAUGUCUUGGGCUUCACGCAUGCUACAAUGGCCGGUACAAAGGGCUGCAAUACCGUGAGGUGGAGCGAAUCCCAAAAAGCCGGUCCCAGUUCGGAUUGAGGUCUGCAACUCGACCUC
rnacentral:rRNA from 1 species